rnacentral:rRNA from 1 species
CGGGGGGGGCAAGCGUUGUUCGGAAUUACUGGGCGUAAAGGGCUCGUAGGCGGCCAACUAAGUCAUACGUGAAAUCCCUCGGCUUAACCGGGGAACUGCGUCUGAUACUGGAUGGCUUGAGUUCGGGAGAGGGAUGCGGAAUUCCAGGUGUAGCGGUGAAAUGCGUAGAUAUCUGGAGGAACACCGGAGGCGAAGGCGGCAUCCUGGACCGAUACUGACGCUGAGGAGCGAAAGCCAGGGGAGCAAACGGGAUUAGAUACCCCGGUAGUCCUGGCCCUAAACGAUGAAUGCUUGGUGUGGCGGGUAUCGAUCCCUGCCGUGCCGAAGCUAACGCAUUAAGCAUUCCGCCUGGGGAGUACGGUCGCAAGGCUG